rnacentral:rRNA from 1 species
UACGUAGGGUGCAAGCGUUGUCCGGAAUUAUUGGGCGUAAAGAGCUCGUAGGCGGUUUGUCGCGUCGAAUGUGAAAACCCGGGGCUUAACCCCGAGCCUGCUUCUGAUACGGGCAGACUAGAGGUAUGCAGGGGAGAACGGAAUUCCUGGUGUAGCGGUGAAAUGCGCAGAUAUCAGGAGGAACACCGGUGGCGAAGGCGGGUCUCUGGGCCGAUACUGACGCUGAGGAGCGAAAGCGUGGGGAGCGAACAGG